rnacentral:rRNA from 1 species
GGCGUAAAGCGUCUGCAGACGUCUCAUUAAGUCUGGUGUAAAAGCACGGAGCUCAACUCCGUGUACGUGCCGGAAACUGAUGAGAUUGAGUCACUGAGAGGUAUCUGGAAUGUCGUGUGUAGGGGUAAAAUCCGUAGAUCCACGAUGGAAUGCCGAAAGCGAAAGCAGGAUACUGGCAGUGUACUGACGUUCAGAGACGAAAGCGUGGGGAGCAAAGGGGAUUAGAUACCCCCGUAGUCCACGCCCUAAACGAUGCGAACUCGGUGUAGGAAUCUCUCAAUAGAUCCUGUGCCUUAGCUAACGCGUUAAGUUCGCCGCCUGGGAAGUACGGCCGCAAGGCUAAAACUCAAAGGAAUAGACGGGGACCCACACAAGCGGUGGAGCAUGGGGUUUAAUUCGAUGAUAAACGAAGGACCUCACCCAGGCUUGACAUCUAGGGAAUCCGGCCGAAAGGUCGGAGUGCCGCAAGGAACCCUAAGACAGGUGAUGCACGGUCGUCGUCAGCUCGUGCCUUGAGGUGUACUGUUAAGUCAGCGAACGAGCGCAACCCUCAUCUUAUGUUGUUAUUUCAUAAGAGACUGCCGCCUCCAAGGCGGAGGAAGGUAGGGAUGACGUCAGAUCAGCGUGUCCUUUAUGCCUGGGGCAACACCCAUGCUACAAUGGCCGAUACAGAGGGCAGCGAAACCGCGAGGUGUAGCUAAUCCCACAAAGUCGGUCUCAGUUCGGAUUGAAGUCUGCAACUCGACUUCAUGAAGUUGGAAUCGCUAGUAACCGUGAGUCAGCCAUAUCACGGUGAAUAAGUUCCUGGGCCUUGUACACACCGCCC